rnacentral:lncRNA from 1 species
GUGAGUACUAGAAUCCACACAUGCUGUAUAUAUGCCCAAGGAUGGCUCGAUCAACCCAUAUGCACCUAUGGGUAGGUUCUCAACCAAUUAUUUCUCCAAACAACUUUUAGUAAUUAAUUUAGUCCCAGAUUUCAUUUCAGUAGACGAUGGGCCUCCACUGAAAGUUUGGGUUAGGUCAAACCAUUAAUAUAAACAUAUUCAGUGAUUCUACCUAAUGAGUGAUUAGGCCCG